AUCUUGUCAAGUCGACUAUUAGACAAUAAAAAGCUGUAAAACUGACUAUAAAUUAAAACCACGAGGGACGGACGAUCAAGCUGCUAGCUCAUAAUUUAAGCAUUAGCAUCAAACGACUAUAAAUUAAAAUCACAAAGCACAGACAAUCAAGCUACUAAGCUCAUAAUUUAAAGCAGUGGCAUCAAACUUGUGCACAAUGCUUUCAUGUUCCAAAAUUGUAGAUAUUACACAAUUUUACAGGUUUCUAGAGACCGAAAUCACUUUUCCAUAAUAUACACUCACCGGGCACAACAUA
rnacentral:lncRNA from 1 species